AAAAUUACGAAAGCUCUCGUUUAUAAAUGUUCGUUUUAUAAUUAUUUUAUUUGAAAAACUAAACAAUUAUUUAAACAUUCAAUAUGGACAUUCAAUUUAUAUUAUAAAAGUUAUUCCUUUUACAGAACCUAUUCCUUUUACAGUACCUGUUCAUUUUACAGUACCUUGAUAGCCAACUUAUAUCAUACUAGAUUCUUAUGGAUGCACAUCAAAGCAAUUUUGAUCUUUUUGAUUUAGACAAUAUAACCUCUACAAGUCAAAUAAAUUUAGAGGU